GCCUUCUUGGUGUAGUGGUCAGCACGCUCGACGCGUAUUCGAGAGGUCCGUGGUUCGAGUCCCUACGAGGGCG
rfam:Stegodyphus mimosarum contig55717, whole genome shotgun sequence.